UGGUUGGUUCCAGAGCCAAAGGCUUGGCCCGGAAGUACAGAAACUCCAGACAACGGGUGUGUAGCCACACCACAGCUGCAUCUGAGGGCAUUUCGGAAUAAGCACAGAUGUCUUUAGGGUGGCGGUGGAGUUCUGAGCCCAUGAAAUGCUGAUAAAGCAUUUUAAUCGACCACCUCGUUGCUGGGCCGCCAGCACCCAAGCAGUCAGCAGUAUCCAAUACUUGUUAAAAUGAUUUUAUCGUUGUAGCCUCCUGUUCUGCAUUUUCAACUAAAAAUCACUGAAAGCAAAGUAUUCCAACGCAAGUCAAUCACUGAAGGAAAGAAGAGGAAGGCGCUGGGAAGUCACACCAUCGUUUCCUAUAAAUUUUCUGGAAGAGAGAAAACGCUUUGCUUUCUUAAUAGCUGGUUCAGGCACAUGAGGCCUACCGACUCAUCUUCUGAUUCAGUGUCAGACAUUUACAGCAGCAAGGCCGAGUUCCUGAGCCACUUAAGGAGGCCUGCUGGAUCUAUGCAACGAGACAGCCAAAAGCAGAGCUGAAGUGUCUCUAUGAAUCUGCUAAUUCAUACUUUCUUGGAGUGCGGGCAGUAGUCUUCCUGCCUAGGCAUGGAGUUCAGUGUGGCGUUUGGACUCAUGACCCUGAGAUCAAGGCCUGAGCUGAAAUGAAGAGUCAGAUGUUUAACCGACUGAGCCACCCAGGCGCCCCUCCAGACCUUCUUAAGUGAAGGGUGAGACAGGCAAAGCUCGCAGAGGUGGGUGCUUGGGCAGGCCGACGUGUGUUGAAGGGGAACAUGGUGUUUGUUUUAAAACCUUAAGCUGAAUGGUGCUUAAUUCCAGAACUCUGUCAUAGAUGAGCCUGUAAUUGCCACAUGCCACAGUAAUUACAGCGGCUAAAACAAAGGCUGUGAUCCCAAAUUACAAUCCGUUCUACGUUCCCGACGGCAUCCCAUCUCCUCACCGUCACCCAGUCCUGAGAAAAGUCUAGCUUUGUAUCACAGGGUGACUAACCAACAAACUGGGACAAAAAAUGGAUGAUAAAUAUGGGAAUCAGAUGCAGAACCAUGACAAAAACACUGCACAUUUCCAUGAAAUAUUUUGCAACACAAUGAAUGGGACUGGAAAACAGAAAUUGUGAAGUCUUGUGCAUUACAUACCACAUAAGCUCAUUAAAUAUUUCUUUAAUGAGUCAACUAAGUGAUUACUGUUCAUUGCUAACACUGUGUCAGAGUCAGCAACGUAUGCUCAAAAUGAGUAAGGCAGGACUGCUGAAAUGGAUAUUUUGGUUGCGAAGACAGAAAUAAAACAAAUCAAACAAUCAGAUAGAUAAUUAAGUCCUAAACUAGGAGGUGGACUAACUAUAAAGCACAGGGGACAAAACCACAUAGACUUGGGCUGUACCCAGCCCUGAUGACCUAUUUUGCUUGGCAUACAAUUGUUUUUAAAGAUUUUAAAUUAAAUUCCAACAUUUAAAAAUUAGGAGAUUUCAAGUAAAAAACAAAACAGAUUUUCUCUUGAAGAUCUCAUGGGAGCUCUUGCAACAGCUGGCCUGCACUUUCCUUAGGGCCACAUUGGGCAGCUGUUCCAUUAAAUGAAGUAUGUGCCACAACCACUCAAUGAUACCAACGGCUUGGCCCCCCUCGGUCUUUGCAUUUGGGAUCAGUGUUCCAGAAAAGUCAUGGCAAAUGAGGAUAAGUAGAGAUCAAGAUGGAAAAGGCCCCAAGGAUAGGGCUUUAUGGGGCCAGGCCUUGUAAACAGAGGAGGAUCUGCAUCUUACACGGGGCAGGGCAGUGCAGGCUGGGAGAAGCCCUGCAGGCUUGUCUGGAAGGCCCCAGGAGACUGACCCAGAGCACAGGGGAGUGCUGCGGAGUCACUGGGAAGUUUCCUCAGAGGGUUGGAGCCAAAUUAUGUGAAGAAUUUUAAAAAACCCAGCUAAGGAGUUUGAGUAUGGGGCGGUGAGCCGUGGGAAGACGUUAGAGGAUCCUGAGUGAGGCAGUUACAAACCCAUGGUGUUUUUCAAAGCAGGGGUUUUCAGCGUGUGUUGGGUGGAUUCAGGGCGGGAAGGAGAGGAGGCGUUUUGCGGGGUGGCGACCUGGCCGGGAGUCGGAGUCGGGGCAGCCCUGCAGGCCUGAGGGGACUGCGGUGACUCGGAGAAGCGCGCGCAACGUGAAAUAAGAGCUGCCAACAGACAGUAAGUAAGAGUAAGGGAAGAGACAUGGGAAGCUCCGACUGCAGCAUCGAGCUUUACACAGCAGCAGCCGCUGCCAUUUGUGAAGCGCCUGCGGUGCGCACAGAGUCAUGCGCUUUCCAGACAGGAUCCUGGGAACCCUACGAAGCCGGCAUGAUGCUCCUCGCCGGCACCGCCACUCGGUGACUAAGGAAACUGACAUCACGUGCCGGUGCGUGGGAGCUGGGACCUGAGCCGGGACUAUGGGACCCUACGAGCAGGGUGGGAGAGGCUGGUGGACGGGGCACGUGAAGCUUUCUACAGACUGUGCUGGAGACGAGAGCCGUUCAGGUGGAUCUCCUUCCCCGGCACUUGAAAUCACAGUCCUGGGGUUCUGGUGAGAGAUGAGGACCACAUCUGUGCACUGAACGAGUUCGGGCAGCAGGAUGCUUUGUGAGUUAGCUGUUUCUGACAUUAUCUGCAGAGAGGUGAUUACUAAAGACAUGGGGAAAUGUGUUGGGGUAUUAAGAAUGGAUUUUAAUAAAAUCAGCUACCAAUCAA